GGGGUUGGGAUAGAGGGAAGCUGGUACUCUGUUCCUGUCCAGUAGGGUCUUCCUGAGCAUUUGAGAAGAGCAUCCUGGACUAGGAAGGCUUGGACAUGGUGGGCAAGAGUGGGCAUAGGCACAUGCCUAUAACCCCAGCUCUGGGGAGGUGAAGGACAGAGGACAGAGGAAGACCCCAUCUCCAACAAAAGCAAAAAACAUUAGACCCAGGCUCAGUGGUCAGGCACUUGUGUAGCAUGCAUGGAAUCAACCCCCAGGACCACAUUUAACAUAAAAAUGAACCAUGAGUGGUGUUGUGUAUACCACUAAUCCCAGCAUUCAGUAGACAUAAAGACUGUAUUUGAAACUAAUCUCCUCUAAACUUUUGUAAAAAGUUUUGUUUUAAUUUUUUUUAAAUUUUACUUUAUGUGAGUGUACUUUGCCUGGAUGUCUGUAUACAUACCAGUCACAUGCCUGGGGUGCCUGAGGAAGUCAGAGAGGGAGUCAGACCCUUGGAGCUGGACUUAUCAGUGGUUAGAAGCCACCAUGUGGGUGCUGGGAGUUGAAGCCAGGUCCUCUGGUAACCACUCAGCUGCAUUCUCUUUACUGUAGUUCUUUACAUUUUCUUUUCUUUGUGUGCAUAUGUGGUGUCACAUUAUGUGGUGCACAUGUGGAGGUCAGAGGACAACUUGAAGAAGUCAAUUCUCUCCUCCUUCCAUGUAGGUCCCAGUAAUGGAACUCAGGUCGUCAGGCUUAGUGGAAGGAAUCUUUACCCACUGAACUCUAUCACUGACCCUAUUUAUUUUCUGUCUCUCCCUUUCUUUCAAAACACAGCUAUGUAGCCCAGACUAGCCUCGAACUGCUUCUAUGGUCCAGUUGACCUUGAAUUCCUCGUCGCCCCCCCCCCCCCCCGUUCCUACCUCCCCAGUGCUGCACUUAUAGACCUGUGCACCCAGACAUGGUCUCUGCUGUGCUAGGAAUGCAAAGCAGAGCUUUGUGGAUGAUGGGUGGGUCCUGGACCACCUGGGCUUAUAGCCUGAGCUACAUGGUGAGUUCCAGGCCAGUCUGGGCUACAUACCGAACCCCUGCCUCAGAAAUGAAGAAGGUCUGGGCAGAUGGUCCAUCCCUGGUGCUCAGUAGCUACCCAGUGUAGCUCUGGGCUCAGUGAGGAAACCCUUUCUCAAAAGAAGCCAGCAAGAUAGCUCAAUGGUAAAGACACCUUCUGGCAAGCCUGGUGACCAAGUUUAGUUCCCAGAACCCACAUGGUAAGGAGACAGCUGACUACCAUGGAUCCUCUGACUUCUACUUCUUGAUACACAAACACACUCACACAUACUGACACAAA